UCUCCUAAGGGCCCAAAAUCUCCUCAUCAUGCUCUGGGCUCCCCUCAUCCUCCUGCUGGGGACGUGGUGCACAGGUUCCAGCUCGCAGACUGUGGUGACUCAGCCGCCUUCAGUGUCAGUGUCCCCAGGAAACACCGUGAAACUCUCCUGCACCCUGAGCAGUGGGACCAGCAUCGGUGACCACGUUGUGUCCUGGUACCAGCAGAAACCUGAGAAUUCUCCACGAUACCUGCUGUAUUACUAUUCAGAGUCCAACAAGGGCCAGGGCUCAGGGGUCCCUGCUCGAUUCUCUGGUUCCAAAGACACGUCCAGUAACGCCGGCUAUCUGACCAUCUCCGGGGCCCUGGCAGAGGAUGAGGCUGAUUAUUACUGUGCUGUGCGGAAGAGUGGCACUGCUGUUCCACACAGUGAUACAGACAGAUGGGGAA